UGCUCUUGCUCCCGUCUGCUUGGAACCCGGAGGCGCACCAAGCCAAAGGCAGCAAAACUUGGCAAGCAGCAAAACUUGACAGCAGGCGCGGCCAUUUUGACAAAGGUGCACAUAUCCGUGCUGGAAAGGGAGUCUUCCUUUAGGGAGUGCAAAGCAGGGGGAACAAUCUCAGGAAGUGCUUAUGAAGAACAAUAUAGGGCUUGGAGAAGCCAAAGUAGUAUGACAAAGGCAGCAUGCCUCACUGUGGGCACAGAGUAAACUAAUUUAGUUUAAGGAAAAGAUCUCUUCCUGGCAGGAUUGCUGGUGGCCCCUCGGUGACAUCUCCCGGUGAAAGGUGACAGGGGUGCGAACCUUGGAGCUCCAGGAGAAGUGACCUUGCUUAGCGUCAGUGGACCGCUUGGCUAGGAUGCACAAUGGAACCCAGUGAGGCCCAGGAACCAGCUCAGGGAGCGCCGCCCAUCAGACUGUAAAGGUGGCCGAGGUGGAUCCCUUGGAUGCACCACAGCAGAGUGAAGCUGGCAUCUCCAAACUGGGAGCACAUUCCUGAUGCAUCAGUGCCAUGCAAGCUGACCAUACGGAAGAAGCAAGUGCAACUCCAGGGGCUCCGGGAGACCGCAGCCCUGCUUCAGUCACUCCGGAAGCUGAGUGAUCCAUGCAUGGCAGAAGCUUGAGGAGUCGACGGUCCGGUGGAACAAAUAGACUGUCCUUAUUUUCUAUAUCUGUUUCCUUACUCUGAUGCGCUGUCACCUUUCAUCUCUCACUGUUAUUGUGAUUCUUGCUCUACUUUUUGCCAUAGGAUUGGCAGAGGCCGCCCCGGCCAGCGGGGAGUGUGGUGAGAGGUUUCUGUUAGCAUUCGCCUUCCUUUUGUGGAUAGGAUAGUUUGUUGGCACUGGUUGCUUCUAAUCUGGACCCCUUCUGUAGACCUAGAUUCUUCAUCACGUGACCCAUGUAUUCACAUAACCGGGUCAGGCCAGGGAGUCACUUGGACCUUACUAUACCAUACCCACUUCUCAUGCCAGGGAAGGGUCCUGGGGCCCUGCAGACACAAUAAGACCACCUAUUCUAUCUGCCAACGGGAGAGUCAAUACACUUGCUUUGGCCCACAAUACUCCCCCAGUGAAGAUUGGUUAGAAGUCCAAUCCUACCAAGGGUGGGGGCUGGAGGGGGGGGGGCUUGUCAGCCAGACAUAAAUUACUAACCCAGAGCGACCUGUGUCAAUGCUGUUUGACGUCUGUGUGGUUAUAAGUAUUGGCCCAGGGGCAUCUGUCAUACGAAAAAAGCGGGCGCUUGUCAUAGAGGGCCCACAGACUCUUGAUACACCAUGCAGAGGCUUAGAUUGGGAGCCGGAAUACUGACUCAAUGACAAAUAACGUGUGUGAGGAAAGCGGUUUAUGUGCCUAUACACCUGAGUUUUUAUGCCCCAGCUGGAGCUGUGUUUCAUGGGCUACUUGGAAAAAAGAAGGCACAACAGUGCUCCUUCAGAAGGGGCUACUACAUCAGAUUGUCGAUCGAAGGCCUGUAACCCUGUUAAUUUUACCAUUAUUAACCCAGGAGAUUCCAAAUGGCAAUGGGGCACCUGAAUUGGCAUCUGGAUCCAUGGGUGAGGCAGAGACCCAGGGACUGUGCUAUAUUUCAAGAGAGUCACUACCGCCCAUCCAACCAUGUUCCAUCAAGUCUUCCAUGCCUUCUAUGGAGAAAUAAGAAGUAGCCCCCCUCCCACUUCAGUCACAGUAAGAAACUUGUUUCUAGCCCUAGGAGAGACAUAGCCCAAACUCUAAAGAUCUCUUCUUGCUAUGUAUGCAGGGGAACCAACAUGGGGGAUCAAUGGCCAUGGGAGACUAUAGAAUUAGAUCCCUGUGAAGCUUAUAAUGGAACAGAAUACCCCAGUCCUACUACUGGGGCUUGGCUCCUCAAAAACUCAAUUAUAGGGAAAAAUUGCCUUGCCCAGUGGGGAAGAAAGCUCACCAUUUCUGUUGGAAACAUAACAUGCCUAGGCCAAAGAUUUUAUAACUCAACCACCUGGGAAACCCAAUGGUGGGGGUCCCCAGAUCACCUUGAACCAGAUCCCCACCCCUUGUCUAACUUCUCUCAUCUCUGAGAGGCCUGGGAUAAUGUUGACACAGCCAUCAAAUGGCGGGCCCAGGUGAAUUAUACUGGAUAUGUGGAAGGACAGCCUAUACAGCACUUCCCUCAGGCUGGUCAGGGUUAUGUGUGCUGGAAACUAUUCAUCCAUCCUCUCUUCCUGCUCCCACUUGCCAGAGGGGAAUAUUUGGGAGUCCAAGUGUAUGGGGACAGAGAGACUCAAAGGAAAUGAUGUGCCCUACAAAUUGGCAAUUGGAAAGGUGGUGAAUGGCCUCCCUAGCAUAUAAUCCAAUAUUAUGGUCCUGCCACCUGGGCAGAGGAUGGGACCUGGGGUUACCGCACUCCCAUUUACAUGCUAAACAGACUAAUCAGACUGUAAGCAGUUGUAGAAAUUAUAACCAAUGAAACUGCCAGGGCUCUUAACUUACUAGCUAAACAGAGAAACAAAAUGUGCAAUACCAUCUAUCAAAAUCGCUUGGCCUUAGAUUAUCUGCUUGCCUCUGAAGGAGGACUUUGUGGAAAGUUUAACCUGAACAACUGCUGCCUACAGAUAGAUGGUGAAGGAAAAGUCAUAGAGGAGAUCACAGAUCGAAUGAGAAAGAUUGCUCAUGUCCCAUCCAGAUCUGGAAAGGUUGGGACCCCGGGGAGUUAUUUGGAGAUUGGUUUUCAACUCUUGGAGGAUUCAAAACCCUCAUAGAUACUAUUCUCUUGAUUUUGGGAACUUGCUUAAUCCUACCUUGCCUAGCUCCCCUGGUUAUACCGUCUGUCUCCAGCCUCAUUGAGGCAAUGGUCAAAAAGAAAUGGCCAUGCAUGUGAUGAUGUUAUGGAAACACAUACCUCUAAACCAAGGUGAUGCUCUUUGACCCAAAGGAAGGGGGGGUUCCAGCAUCAAAGGAGGAAAUGUGGUAGAGUCCCUCCCUAAGGAAGGUGGUGGAGGCCUCCUCAGAACAAAGGAAGGUAACGUGGCCCAAUCAACUCCUAUAGGCAUAUGCGUAGCUCUGACAUUACUCUGUAACUUGGCCUGUGUCCGGUCAGACUGUAUGUCACCAUACAUGGGAGACAAAGAAGUAUAAAUUGCGUAAAAGCUACACUCCUCUGUGCCUGAGGCUCAGUUUUUGGGUAUGAACCCACUGAGCCUGUGCAGGCACGACAAAUAAAGUUGCGUAUUGGACUGAAAAGCCUAUGUGUCCCAUCUCUCUGUGUGAGAAUCCUGCUGUAGUGUCUCCCUCCACCUCCCCAAAGGAAGCUUGGUUUCUUCCGGUCGCUGUUCUUCACUUCCUUGGAUGGCGUUAUCACUCUCCCUA